rnacentral:rRNA from 1 species
AGUGAACGCUGGCGGUAGGCCUAACACAUGCAAGUCGAACGGCAGCUCAGUAAGAGCUUGCUCUUACGGGUGGCGAGUGGCGGACGGGUGAGGAAUACAUCGGAAUCUACUUUUUCGUGGGGGAUAACGUAGGUAAACUUACGCUAAUACCGCAUACGACCUACGGGUGAAAGCAGUGGAUCUUCGGACCUUGCGCGAUUGAAUGAGCCGAUGUCGGAUUAGCUAGUUGGCGGGGUAAAGGCCCACCAAGGCGACGAUCCGUAGCUGGUCUGAGAGGAUGAUCAGCCACACUGGAGCGGAGACACGGUCCAGACUCCUACGGGAGGCAGCAGUGGGGAAUAUUGGACAAUGGGCGCGAGCCUGAUCCAGCCAUACCGCGUGUGUGAAGAAGGCCUGCGGGUUGUAAAGCCCUUUUGUUGGGAAUGAAAAGCAGCAGGUUAAUACCCCGCUGUUCUGACGGUAACCAAAGAAUAAGCACCGGCUAACUUCGUG